rnacentral:lncRNA from 1 species
AACUUAUCAAAGGUCUACAUACCUGAGGGUCAUUUUCCCAUUCUGUCACCAAGUUCUCCCAGGAUAAGCCACGCCAACUCAAUAACAUCUUCAUUGGAAUCAAAGCUUCUUGCUUGAAUUAUAAAGUCAUAUUGCGAUUUAUACCUCCUCAAGGCGAGAAUUUCUUCUCUCCAUUUCUUUUCUUACUUUUUUUUUUUAUACAAAAUUCUUUUCUUACUUUCACAGUGAAGCCAAGGUACGUGCUUCAUUUAGUGGCAGACAAAACGCAUUGUGAAUUACCGUCACAGCUACUGUUGCGGUGGUGCAUCAAAUGCCCCCAUGUGUAUUGCCUACAAUGCUUAUAUCAUCGAGUUAAUCAGGAUUUCUU